ensembl:lncRNA
AAAAAAACAGUGUGGGCAAAAAUGUUUGUAACAGUGCAUUUGUUCUCACUGUUUAACGAUUCAAAUUUGUAUUAAAUACAGAAUUCACAUAGAAUUUUCCAUCUGAUUCACGUGCACUGUGUAAUGACAAGUUAGUAUUGCAAAUUUACAUUGGAAAGUUGGAGCAGUGCCACUUUGAAAUCGGGUAUGUUAUAUAAAUACUGUUGCUUAAUUAUUUUUAAAUACGUAGAUAGAUAAGUGAUUCAAAAGAGUAACUGGAAACAAUUUUAACAAACUUAUUGCUAACUCGUAUUGGGAAACUUUUCUUUCCAGUUCCUAAUUUUACACUUAUUUUUGCAAGGCAGUUUCGACAGAUUUAUACUCGAUCAUCAUUCUAUUUGUAUAAGAAGAUAAAAUAUUUUGAAACAGUAAGAGAUAGAUGAAAAUUCCUAUAUGCCCACAUCCAUUCAUAAAAUUCCCUGUGUCACAGAGAUGAGUAUGAAGUGUCUUUAGGGCUUUGCAUUAUCAUCAUUUGAACCCAUCUUGAAUGAUUAGUAAUUUGGGACAUGUGUUAAAUUUAAGGAGAGAAGUUAUUUUCCUGUUUUCUUCUGUGUUGUGUAAAAGCACUUGUAGUUCUGAUGAAUUUGUCAUUUCGUCUGCAUGAGGUGAUAUUUUUUCAGUGUUCUGAGGCAAUGCAUGGUGGUUGCUCUGCCCUCAUUUGUACUGCCUUCGUUAAAAGUCUCCUCAUAGUAUAGCAGAAGCUAGUGCUGUGGAAGCAAAUCAGUUUGUCGAUCCCAUUUUCUUGGUACUUUUGGAGGAUUGCUUAAAUGAAAGCAUCUCCGUGAAUAGUGUGAUUUGUAAUUGCAAAGCUGUGACCAGAAUAAGUUUUUGGGUUUUGUUUUUUUUUUUUUUUGUAAGUUAUGUUUUAUCGUGUUUCUUUAUUGUAGAACUGAAGCCAUAAAUGCACUAAUAUUGUUUUUUUUAAUACUUCGACUUAAUUUUCCAUUAAGACUUUCAGUGUUUGAUAUGUAUGAACUGCUGCAGAAAGUGGUCGCUAUGUACAAGCAAAAUCUGCAUUCGAGGCAAAGUGAGGUUUUACAGCCCCGCUGAGCCAUUACUGCUGAAACUGUUGUGGAAAUUAUGAAGCUGCAUGAACGAAGACUUCUUGAAUCGGUGUUUAUGGUAGUUUCUCAGGUUUCGUUUUAACUGGAUGUUAAAUGCACUGUGUUUUCUAGUUACUCUCUUUUAGUAACACAUUUGGUUCUAUGCAGUGUUACAUGUCAUUUAGCAUUUGGUGAAUGUGCAUGUUUUGAACUGCAAAUUUUAAAUGUUUUGUCUUUUAAUUGUUAAAAAAAAUAAAUAAACUUUGCC